UACGGAAGGGGCAAGCGUUGUUCGGAAUCAUUGGGCGUAAGGGGCGCGUAGGUGGUUCUGUAUGUCUACCGUGAAAGCGUACGGCUCAACCGUAUUUAGUCGGUAGAAACUGCAGGACUUGAGGCUGGGAGGGGCUGGUGGAAUUCCCUGUGUAGCGGUGAAAUGCGUAGAGAUGGGGGAGAACACUCGUGGCGAAGGCGGCCAGCUAGACCAGUUCUGACACUGAGGCGCGAUAGCGUGGGGAGCAAACAGG
rnacentral:rRNA from 1 species